ACACAUGCAAGUCGAACGAUGAAGACUGGUGCUUGCACUGGUUGGAUUAGUGGCGAACGGGUGAGUAAUACGUGAGUAACCUGCCUUUGACUCUGGGAUAAGCCUGGGAAACUGGGUCUAAUACCGGAUAUGACAAGGAACCGCAUGGUUUUUUGUGGAAAGGGUUUGUACUGGUUUUAGAUGGGCUCACGGCCUAUCAGCUUGUUGGUGGGGUAAUGGCUCACCAAGGCGACGACGGGUAGCCGGCCUGAGAGGGUGACCGGCCACACUGGGACUGAGACACGGCCCAGACUCCUACGGGAGGCAGCAGUGGGGAAUAUUGCACAAUGGGCGCAAGCCUGAUGCAGCGACGCCGCGUGAGGGAUGACGGCCUUCGGGUUGUAAACCUCUUUCAGCAGGGAAGAAGCGAAAGUGACGGUACCUGCAGAAGAAGCGCCGGCUAACUACGUGCCAGCAGCCGCGGUAAUACGUAGGGCGCGAGCGUUGUCCGGAAUUAUUGGGCGUAAAGAGCUUGUAGGCGGUUUGUUGCGUCUGCUGUGAAAGACCGGGGCUUAACCCCGGUAUUGCAGUGGGUACGGGCAGACUAGAGUGCAGUAGGGGAGACUGGAAUUCCUGGUGUAGCGGUGAAAUGCGCAGAUAUCAGGAGGAACACCGAUGGCGAAGGCAGGUCUCUGGGCUGUAACUGACGCUGAGAAGCGAAAGCAUGGGGAGCGAACAGGAUUAGAUACCCUGGUAGUCCAUGCCGUAAACGUUGGGCACUAGGUGUGGGGGACAUUCCACGUUUUCCGCGCCGUAGCUAACGCAUUAAGUGCCCCGCCUGGGGAGUACGGCCGCAAGGCUAAAACUCAAAGGAAUUGACGGGGCCCGCACAAGCGGCGGA
rnacentral:rRNA from 1 species